rnacentral:lncRNA from 1 species
ACAGAAAAUGCAAAUAGUCUGAGCCAGAAAUAAUUGACAGAAGGCUAGUGUGGCUGCUGAACAGAGAGAGAGCAAGCAGGAAGGAAGAUCAGGGUGGAGUAAAAGACAAGACCGUGCAAAGCUUUAUCAGCUACAUCAGAUAAUUUAGAUUUUAUCCUAAUGUAGUGAGAAGGUUUUGAAGGAUCUUAAAUAGUGAUACAACAGGCUCCUUCGGGCUGCAAUGUGUAAAAUUGAAGGUGCCUGCUUCCCCUUCAUCUUCUGCCAUGAUUGUAAGUUUCCUGAGGCCUCCCCAGACAUGCGGAACUUUUUACAAACUGAAGUCAAGGAGUACCUUCAAUCAAGUCUCCCACAGGGAAAGAAAAAAAGCCAACAGAAUUACCAAAGCCCUUUCUUCUCUUUUCUUUUCCAGGAACAGAAGACAGCAAGAAAACCUCAUUUGGAACCGCUAUGAUUCCAUCUCCAACCUGACCAAUCAGCACUCCCCACUUCUCAAGCCUUUACCCUCCAAAUUAUCUUUAAAAACUCUGAUCCCUGAAUGCUCAGGGAGAGUGAUUUGAAUCAUUAAAAAAAAUUCCUAUCUCUCACACAGCCAGCUCUUCAUGAAUUAUUUCUUCUUCAUUGCAAUUCCACUGUCUUGAUAAAUCACCUCCGUCUAGGCAGCAGGCAAGGUGAUCCCAUUGGGCAGCUACAGAUACACUCAAAAAUACUAUACAUAUGGCCAGGUGCGGUGACUCAUGCCUAUCCCAGCACUUUGGAAGGGUGAGGCAGGCAGGUCACGAGGUCAAAAGAUUGAGACCAUCCUGGCCAACCUGGUGAAACCCUGACUCUACUAAAAAUACAACAAUUAGCUGGACGUAGUGGAGCACACCUGUAGUUCCAGCUAUUCAGGAGGCUGAGGCAGGAGAAUCUCUUGAACCUGAGAGGCAGAGGCUGCAGUGAGCCGAUAUCACACCACCGCACUCCAGCCUGGAGACAGAGCAAGAUUCCAUCACAAAACAAACAAACAAACGACAACAACAACAACAACAAAGUGCUAUACCUAAAUCAAAAUAAAAUUCUAAAGAAAAUAUUUAAUUAACUCAAAGUAGAGCAGGAGAAAGUAACCAGACAGAUAAAAACCAAGAGACAACAAAGAAAAUGAAAAGCAAAAUUGCCG